AUUUCUGGGACUCCUGAGUCCAGGCACCAAGAUCAGGAAGCUUCUCCUCUUGUAUUUAGGGGAAGCUGGCCACAUUGUAAGAAGUCGGACUAUGCUGAGACUGUCAUGAUGACAGAAAACCCAAGCUAGCCAGGUGGAGAGAUCACACAGAAAGAGAUGCCUGGCCAGCUGUUACCUGAUAUGCCAUCAUGCAAGAAGAUAAAGGAAGGACAGAGGUUAAACUAAGAGAUGCAGAAAUUAUAGUAUAUCAGCCAGGUGUGGUGGCUCAUGCCUGUAAACCCAGCCCUUUGGGAAGCCGAUGCGGGCGGAUCACGAGAUAUUAAUCCAAGGAACAAUACUGACGAAUUUCACGGACAAAAUACUAAGAAGGAAAUCAAGUGAAUCAAGCGGAGAAGAAAGACAGUGGAAAAAGAAAACUGAAAAUAAAAAUAUUUUCUAGACCCCUUGAAAUAAAGUUUGAAAAACCACA
rnacentral:lncRNA from 1 species